GGAAGCAGAUGGAGUACUGGUGUCUCUCCUGGUCUUCAAAACCAUGUGCGGCCGGUGGACCCGGCUGGGUGGGUUCGAUUCCCACGUGCUUCC
rnacentral:tRNA from 1 species